AACGAACGCUGGCGGCGUGUUUAAGACAUGCAAGUCGAACGGCAGCACGGCAGUAGCAAUACUGUGGGUGGCGAGUGGCGGACGGGUGAGGAAUGCGUCGGAAUCUGCCCAGUUGUGGGGGAUAACUAGCCGAAAGGUUAGCUAAUACCGCAUACGCCCUGAGGGGGAAAGCGGGGGACCGUAAGGCCUCGCGUAAUUGG
rnacentral:rRNA from 1 species